rnacentral:lncRNA from 1 species
UCAUUUUUCAUCUCAUUUCAUCUCAAUUCAUCUCAUCAUUUCAUCUCCUCAUCUCAUCAUUUCCUCCUUUCAUUACAACAUUUCAUCUCAUUUCUUCUCAUCUCAUUUCAAUUUCAUUAUUUCAUCUCAUUUCAUUAUUUCACCUAAUUUCAUUAUUUCAUCUCAUCUCAUCUCAGUUCAUCUGAUCUCAUUUCAUCUCAGCAUUUCAUCUCAUCAUUUUUCAUCUCAUCAUUUUUCAUCUCAUCAUUUAAUCUCAUUUCAUUUCAUUUGAUCUCAUCAUUUAAUCUCAUUUCAUUUCAUUUGAUCUCAUCAUUUCAGCUCAUUUCA